rnacentral:rRNA from 1 species
GGCGGUAUUUUAGUCUAGUUAGAGGAACCUGUUUUAUAAAUGAUAUAACACGCAUUAUUUUACUUGUCUUAGUAAAUCAGUUUGUAUACCGUCAUUAUAAGAUAAUUUAUGAGAAAAUAUUAUUGAAAUCAUAUUAUUGAGUAUAUUAGAUCAAGGUGCAGCUUAUAGGUAAGUAAACAUGGGUUACAAUAAAAUUUAUUUAAUAUGGAUUAAGUGUUUAAAUAUAUUUAUGAAGGAGGAUUUAAUUGUAAGAAGGGGAGUAGUGAGAUUUUCUGAUAAAAGCUCUAAAUUAU